UGUGGUGGCAUGAAGGUAGCCACGAGAAGUCAGUGAUUCUUCAGAAGAAUAUUAUUCCAAACUGACCUUGCUUGUUCCUUUGCAGGUAGCCAGCACUGUUCACAUCAUAUUACAACAGGAUGCUUAUGAGCUCAUCAAGGGAAGACUGCAGUGGGUCAUGUGCCUUAUAAAACUGAUGCUGCAGUGCAAACAUACAAAGGAUGUGCCUGGUCUGAUGAGUUGCUGAGAACAGCACGGAGUCCUGCUAUGGCUUGUGGCCUGUUUACUGUCCAUGGAUUCAUGCACCCACCCAUCCCCCCAGCCUCCUGUCCUGCAACAUUUUGAUGUACGUACCCAGAAACUGCUGGUAGGAUGGCAGCCAUAAGCUUCCAAAGCCAGGAGUACUUUUAAGUGACAUUUGUUGGGUGUUAUGAAUCAGACCUCCAGCGGUAACCUUGUGGCCGCAGGGACCUGAGGACAGCAGCAGGCUUCAGCAGGACAAACGGGGAGAGCCACUGGUCCCAUGGCGUGUGGCUGGAGGGCAGCAGGAAGACUGCACAGACCUGCCACGGAGGGGACGCAUCUGGCUCAAUUUCCAUUUAUAUUCAACUACACUGUGGAAAAGACUUUGUGUGUGAAUGUCUCCACGAUACCACUCAGAGAUCGUGACCAACGCAUUCCUUUCCCACUCCUACAUGAGUUGCACCUAGUACACCCUGCUUAUGAAAGAUCAGCACCAAAACAAAGAAUGGCAAAGCAU
rnacentral:lncRNA from 1 species